rfam:Nicotiana attenuata strain TT chromosome 10, whole genome shotgun sequence.
UGGACAGAUUAUUGUAUUCGACUGUAUUCACGACGUGAAACAGGGGAUUACACUGUUUUUAAACGGAAAGUGAAUUAAUUAACAUAAUAGACUCCU